UGGGGAAUUUUGGACAAUGGGCGAAAGCCUGAUCCAGCAAUGCCGCGUGUGUGAAGAAGGCCUUCGGGUUGUAAAGCACUUUUGUCCGGAAAGAAAUCCUUGGCUCUAAUACAGUCGGGGGAUGACGGUACCGGAAGAAUAAGCACCGGCUAACUACGUGCCAGCAGCCGCGGUAAUACGUAGGGUGCAAGCGUUAAUCGGAAUUACUGGGCGUAAAGCGUGCGCAGGCGGUUUGCUAAGACCGACGUGAAAUCCCCGGGCUCAACCUGGGAACUGCAUUGGUGACUGGCAGGCUAGAGUAUGGCAGAGGGGGGUAGAAUUCCACGUGUGAGCAGUGAAAUGCGUAGAGAUGUGGAGGAAUACCGAUGGCGAAGGCAGCCCCCUGGGCAAGUACUGACGCUCAUGCACGAAAAGCGUGGGGGAGCAAAAC
rnacentral:rRNA from 1 species